rnacentral:lncRNA from 1 species
GUCUUUGAAAAUGAAAUGGAGGGGGAAGGGGGAGGAAAUAACCAUUUCUACAACAGGUCCUGACUUCAAAGAGUUCUUUUAUUUAAGGCCAUGAAGCCCUUGUCCUCUUAAGGGGGAUAAUCUCCUGUAAAACAUUUAAAACUUCACCAGCUUGCCAUUCUCAAGAGAAUGCUGAUUAUCGCUGCUGCAUUGUCAUCUGUCUAAACAAGUUAAUUAACUGUAUGUCUCUACAGUCAGCCUUCCAGCCACUGUGCCCCAAGGCUGUAGUGAUGCACGGGAUUGUUGCGAACAAAAUGCAAGACCUAACACAUGGUCUUAACAAAGCUUAUGCUGCUGGCCUCAGCCCAGUGAUCCAGCCUAUCCAGAUCCCUCUGAAGGACCUCACUACUCCCAGGCAGAUUGGCACUACCUCCCAGCCUACUGUCAUCCAAAAACUUACUGAGGUGUGAUUGUCCAGCCAGUUUUUUAUCCAGGGAAGAGUACGCCUGCCCAAGUUAUGGGCUGCCAGCUUCAGUGCAGACAUGCCUUUAAUACUGCCCAUAUUCAAUGUAUAAGCUGCUUCUCAGAUGACUGCCAGAAUGUAGCAAAGCUGGAAAGCUUUCUGCUUUGAACACAACAAAGUAAAGUUUUCUGUAUGGUCACAGUCAUCCAAUUAUAUUUCUCUGUUGAGGAAGAAAAGGUACAAGCAGUCCAAGGGUUCAUUUGAUCCUUUUGCAAGAAUACAAACCUGAGCAAAAAAUACUGGGUCGCAGGGCAGCAAGUGGUUUGUACUGCUAUUCAUGGGAUCCAGAAAAGUUGAAUUACAUUGUUAUUUUUAUUAUUAUUGUUGUUGUUGUUAUUGUUUUAUCAUAACUAUUCAUCUGGUUACACUGAAUGUGGAGUCAGUAUAAUUUUUAGCAUUGUCAUUGUAAAUGAUUCUGUUUGUCCUUGUUUACCAGUCACAGACUGUUCACAUAAACUCUCUGGAGAUCUU